GCAGGUGAAUGCAACGUCAAGCGAUGGGCGUUGUGCUCCAUAUUGUCUUAUUUACACAUUUUUUAGAAUUAAUCCGCUAGAUACUUUAAUUCGAACGACGCCGGUCUUCUGACCGGCUUUU
rnacentral:sRNA from 1 species